rnacentral:rRNA from 1 species
UACAGAGGGUGCAAGCGUUGUUCGGAAUUAUUGGGCGUAAAGGGCGCGUAGGCGGCCAGCACAAGUCAGUUGUGAAAUCUCCGGGCUUAACUCGGAAAGGUCAACUGAUACUGUGCGGCUAGAGUGCAGAAGGGGCAACUGGAAUUCUCGGUGUAGCGGUGAAAUGCGUAGAUAUCGAGAGGAACACCUGCGGCGAAGGCGGGUUGCUGGCUGACACUGACGCUGAUGCGCGAAAGCCAGGGGAGCGAACGGG